UAGGGAAUAUUGGUAAUGUGCGAAAGCGCGAACCAGCAACGCCGCGUGCACGAUGAAGGCCUUCGGGUCGUAAAGUGCUUUUAGAGAGGAUGAGGAAGGACAGUACUUUCUGAAUAAGCCUCGGCUAACUACGUGCCAGCAGCCGCGGUAAAACGUAGGAGGCUAGCGUUAUCCGGAUUUACUGGGCGUAAAGCGCAUGCAGGUGGUUUUGUAAGUUGGAUGUGAAAGCUCCUGGCUUAACUGGGAGAGGUCGUUCAAAACUACAAGACUUGAGAUUGGUAGAGGAUAAUGGAAUUCCCGGUGUAGUGGUGAAAUGCGUAGAUAUCCGGAGGAACACCAGUGGCGAAAGCGGUUUUCUGGACCAAUUCUGACACUCAGAUGCGAAAGCUAAGGUAGCAAACG
rnacentral:rRNA from 1 species